UAAAAGCGUCUAGACAAGGACAAUGGGGGGUCGUAGUCGUCGUCCUUCUCCUGAUGUGCAAGUCGCCGCUGUCUCGGCCCAGACAGCGACCCCAAGCAUCUCAAGGGUGUGGAGAUGGAGAUGGAAAUAUCGUGGAGAGAAAUCUGCGAUUAUGAAACUGCCAUUGUUGGGCUUUGACAGAAUCGCCGGCCAUUGGUUGGCCCAUUUUGUCAUCUCCUCAUUAAUCCAUUCCCCUGUCCAUUAACCGACGGCGUCAUCUCCAGCUCCACUCCACUUGACUCCGUCCCCGGGCCUGGGCGAACCCUAGCGCCGCCCCGCCAAGGUUGCUUCAGAGUUCUCCGUCGUGCAGAGACGAUGCAGCCGAACGAGGUCGCCGACAAGGCCAUUGUCAUAAUGCAGCACGCCGCGAAGCAGGUCCUGGGUACGUGCAAGGAGAAGCUCCACCUGGGGAAGCCACUCAGCGUGUUUGAAGUGAAGGAACUAAAAGAAGCGCUUGAAGCCAUUGCCGAAGCACUGGACCAGGACUCGCUGCUUUGCCAAGUUGCUUUGGAUGCGGGUGCUCCCAGCUUAGUAGAAGAUCACUGGGACGACGAAGGCGGAGAAGCCGUGGUGGCGGGUCUCCCAUGGCCUGAAUCCCCACGUCCGGAGGACUUCAUGUCCCUUGAAAAGCACAUAGAAACCUACUGGAGCGUCGAGUACGACUCGGACAAUAUGCUGCCUAGCUUAUCUGAUUAGAUUAGGUGGUAGAUAUGAUGGAUUAAUUCUUCUUCGCAAGCAAUUUUUUUUUCUUGCAUUCCUUCCUCCUCCUCCCACCUUCCUUCCCUCUAUUUGUAAAGCUAGCACCCCCGGCCAAUCAAUCUCUUUUGAAGGAUGAAAUGUUACUAGAUGCA